ensembl:snRNA U6 U6 spliceosomal RNA
GUGCUCGCUCCUGCAGCACAUAUACUAAAAUUGGAACUAUACAGAGAAGAUGAGCAUGGCCCAUGCGCAAGGAUGACAAGCAAAUUUGUGAAGCGUUCCAUAUUUUU